rnacentral:rRNA from 1 species
GCCAGACUCCUACGGGAGGCAGCAGUGGGGAAUAUUGCACAAUGGGGGAAACCCUGAUGCAGCGACGCCGCGUGAGUGAGGAAGUAUUUCGGUAUGUAAAGCUCUAUCAGCAGGGAAGAAAAUGACGGUACCUGACUAAGAAGCCCCGGCUAACUACGUGCCAGCAGCCGCGGUAAUACGUAGGGGGCAAGCGUUAUCCGGAUUUACUGGGUGUAAAGGGAGCGUAGACGGAAUUGCAAGUCUGAUGUGAAAAUCCGGGGCCCAACCCCGGAACUGCAUUGGAAACUGUAUUUCUAGAGUGUCGGAGAGGCAAGUGGAAUUCCUGGUGUAGCGGUGAAAUGCGUAGAUAUCACGAAGAACCCCGAUUGCGAAGGCAGCUUACUAAACUGUGACUGACAUUGAUGCUCGAAAGUGUGGGUAUCAAACAGGAUUAGAUACCCCUGUA